GGAUUGAUCUGCGAGUGAAGAGGAUGAGCCCAGCACCGAAGCCUCUGUCGAAAUUCGGCAGCUGUGCAAUGUGGUGUAAGGGAAGGUUUGUUCCGGCAAGGUGCCAGGUGUCUAAGUCCCCCUGACUGGGGCCACGACCCUCGGAGGGUGCAAGGCCCGUGUGGCCCGGCACGUCUCUGUUCCUUGCCGGUCUGGCCUUUCCCAGGAGUCGGGUUGCUUGAGAGUGCAGCCCUAAGUGGGUGGUAAACUCCAUCUAAGGCUAAAUACUUGACACGAGACCGAUAGCAAACAAGUACCGUGAGGGAAAGUUGCAAAGAACUUUGAAGAGAGAGUUCAAGAGUGCGUGAAACCGUUCGGAGGCAAACGGGUGGGCCCUCGAAGGUCGAACGGAUGGGGCUGGAUUCAACCCGCUGCCCAGACGCCCUGCAUCGAGAGAUAGGCUUGCUGGUCUGAAACACGACAAGUGGCGUCGUCUCGUUCAGGUGCUACUGGGCUCGACGGGUGCAUUUCCAGUUUCCCCCUUCCCAGUAGGACGCUGCGACCGGUCGGGAUUUUUGAACGCGGGAGACCAGGAGCGGGGCCAAUUGGUAGCUGCACGGUGUAAGUCGGCCUCGUGCCGCAUCCGCUUGUCUGGCCAGGCCAUGGCGUAGAGUCUCUCAUUCCGACCGAGGAAACGUUUGGCUUCCUGCAAGAGCCAUGCGAACGUACCCGCUUACCGUUGUUCGGUGCUCGGGCAGACUGAGUCUACCGGGUGGUGGCCGGCGGCCAGGUGUCGAAACCCUACGAGGUCUCCGCCUGUGCUUCGUCGUGGCACCUACCGACAGUGAAGGGCGCAGGCUCCCGAAAAACGGGUUUGCCGGAGGUUCAGCAGCGAGUAGGUUGGUAACCCACCCGACCCGUCUUGAAACACGGACCAAGGAGUCUAACAUGCUUGCAAGCCUUCGGGGUCUGACAAACCCUAAGAAGGCGAAAUGAAAGUAAAGGUGAACUUGUUCACCCAGGCAGGAUCCCUUCGACCUGGAGUCGCAGGGCGCACUGCCGGCCCGCCCCACGGUCGCUCUGCGAUCGGGCGAGCAGAGCAGUUC
rnacentral:rRNA from 1 species